UGUUUCGGCUAGGGGGCCAUCCCGGCUUACCAACCCGAUGCAAACUGCGAAUACCGGAGAAUGUUAUCACGGGAGACACACGGCGGGUGCUAACGUCCGUCGUGAAGAGGGAAACAACCCAGACCGCCAGCUAAGGUCCCAAAGUCAUGGUUAAGUGGGAAACGAUGUGGGAAGGCCCAGACAGCCAGGAUGUUGGCUUAGAAGCAGCCAUCAUUUAAAGAAAGCGUAAUAGCUCACUGGUCGAGUCGGCCUGCGCGGAAGAUGUAACGGGGCUAAACCAUGCACCGAAGCUGCGGCAGCGACGCUCAGGCGUUGUUGGGUAGGGGAGCGUUCUGUAAGCCUGUGAAGGUGGCCUGUGAGGGUUGCUGGAGGUAUCAGAAGUGCGAAUGCUGACAUAAGUAACGAUAAAGCGGGUGAAAAGCCCGCUCGCCGGAAGACCAAGGGUUCCUGUCCAACGUUAAUCGGGGCAGGGUGAGUCGACCCCUAAGGCGAGGCCGAAAGGCGUAGUCGAUGGGAAACGGGUUAAUAUUCCCGUACUUGGUGUUACUGCGAAGGGGGGACGGAGAAGGCUAUGUUGGCCGGGCGACGGUUGUCCCGGUUUAAGCGUGUAGGUGUGUGUUCCAGGUAAAUCCGGUUCACUUUAACACUGAGGCGUGACGACGAGGCACUACGGUGCUGAAGCAACAAAUGCCCUGCUUCCAGGAAAAGCCUCUAAGCAUCAGGUAACAUCAAAUCGUACCCCAAACCGACACAGGUGGUCAGGUAGAGAAUACCAAGGCGCUUGAGAGAACUCGGGUGAAGGAACUAGGCAAAAUGGUGCCGUAACUUCGGGAGAAGGCACGCUGACACGUAGGUGAAGUGAUUUACUCAUGGAGCUGAAGUCAGUCGAAGAUACCAGCUGGCUGCAACUGUUUAUUAAAAACACAGCACUGUGCAAACACGAAAGUGGACGUAUACGGUGUGACGCCUGCCCGGUGCCGGAAGGUUAAUUGAUGGGGUCAGCGCAAGCGAAGCUCCUGAUCGAAGCCCCGGUAAACGGCGGCCGUAACUAUAACGGUCCUAAGGUAGCGAAAUUCCUUGUCGGGUAAGUUCCGACCUGCACGAAUGGCGUAAUGAUGGCCAGGCUGUCUCCACCCGAGACUCAGUGAAAUUGAACUCGCUGUGAAGAUGCAGUGUACCCGCGGCAAGACGGAAAGACCCCGUGAACCUUUACUAUAGCUUGACACUGAACAUUGAGCCUUGAUGUGUAGGAUAGGUGGGAGGCUUUGAAGCGUGGACGCCAGUCUGCGUGGAGCCGACCUUGAAAUACCACCCUUUAAUGUUUGAUGUUCUAACGUGGACCCGUUACCCGGGUUGCGGACAGUGUCUGGUGGGUAGUUUGACUGGGGCGGUCUCCUCCUAAAGAGUAACGGAGGAGCACGAAGGUUGGCUAAUCCUGGUCGGACAUCAGGAGGUUAGUGCAAUGGCAUAAGCCAGCUUGACUGCGAGCGUGACGGCGCGAGCAGGUGCGAAAGCAGGUCAUAGUGAUCCGGUGGUUCUGAAUGGAAGGGCCAUCGCUCAACGGAUAAAAGGUACUCCGGGGAUAACAGGCUGAUACCGCCCAAGAGUUCAUAUCGACGGCGGUGUUUGGCACCUCGAUGUCGGCUCAUCACAUCCUGGGGCUGAAGUAGGUCCCAAGGGUAUGGCUGUUCGCCAUUUAAAGUGGUACGCGAGCUGGGUUUAGAACGUCGUGAGACAGUUCGGUCCCUAUCUGCCGUGGGCGCUGGAGAACUGAGGGGGGCUGCUCCUAGUACGAGAGGACCGGAGUGGACGCAUCACUGGUGUUCGGGUUGUCAUGCCAAUGGCACUGCCCGGUAGCUAAAUGCGGAAGAGAUAAGUGCUGAAAGCAUCUAAGCACGAAACUUGCCCCGA
rnacentral:rRNA from 2 species